rnacentral:snoRNA from 1 species
UUUUUCUGUUCAUGAACAAUUUUUUCAGCUCUGCUUCUGUAGUGAAAUUGGUGAAAAACUUAGGAAAAUCACAGUAAGACUU